UAAAAAAUUUGGCGGUAUUUUAGUCUAUUCAGAGGAACUUGUUUUUUAAUCGAUAAUUCACGAUGAACCUUACUUAAUUUUGUUGUCUGUUUAUAUACCGUCGUUAUUAGAAUAUUUUAUAAGAAAGUUAAUUUUCUUAAAUUUUUAUAAAAAUUUAUAUCAGAUCAAGGUGUAGCUUAUAUUUAAGUUUUAAUGAGUUACAAUAAAAAUAUUUAAACGAAUAUAAAUUUGAAAUGUUUAUUAAAGGUGGAUUUGAUAGUAAAAUUAUAAAGAUUAAUAAUUUGAUUUUAGCUCUAAAAUAUGCACAUAUCGCCCGUCACUCUUUCUAUAUAGGUAAGAUAAGUCGUAACAUAGUAGAUGUACUGGAAAGUGUAUCUAGAAUGCAAUUUAAAGCUUAUAAAGUAAAGUAUUUCAUUUACAUUGAAAAGAUUUUUGUGCAAAUCAAUAUAAAUUGAUUAUAAUUUAUUUAUUAAUUAAAUUUUUGUUUUUAUUGAUUUAUUAAAAAUAAUUAUAAAUUUAUUUGUUUUAGUAUUUUAUAAAGAAAAAAUAAUAUUAAUAAUAGUUUAAUAGUAUUGUAAAAGAAAAUUGAAAUAAU
rnacentral:rRNA from 1 species